AUAUGUUAGAAUACAAUAAAUUUGAUUGAUUGCAAGUGCUAGAGAUGCGUGAAAAGUGUUUAGAAGUGUGGAGAAAGACUUGUUGAAAUUGGGUCCCAAAUGGGCUAAGAACUCGGAAACAUUGCGUUGAACCACUAAAUGACUUAUCUACUGUUUUUUGGGGUUAGAAUAUGUUAGAAAACAAUAAAUUUGAUUGAUUACAAGUGCUAGAGAUACAUGAAGAGUGGUUUCAAGUAUUGAGAAAGACUUGUUGAAAUUGGGUCCCAAAUGGGCUAAGAACUCGGAAACAUUGCUUUAAACAACUAAAUGACUUAUCUAGUGUUGUCUGGGGUUAAAAUAUGUUAGAAUACAAUGAAUUUGAUUGAUUACAAGUGCUAUAGAUGCAUGAAGAGUGUUUGGAAGUAUGGAGAAAGACUUGUUGAUAUUGGGUCCCAUUUGGGCUAAGAACUCGGAAACAUUGCGUUGAACAACUAAAUGACUUAUCUAGUGUUGUUUGGGGUUAGAAUAUGUUAGAAUACAAUGAAUUUGAUUAAUUACAAGUGUUAGAGAUGCAUGAAGAGUGUUUUGAAGUAUGGAGAAAGACUUGUUUAAAUUGUGUCCCAAAUGGACUAAGAACUCGGAAACAUUGCGUCGAACCACUAAAUGACUUAUCGAGUGUUGUUUGGGGUUAAAAUAUGUUAUAAUACAAUGAAUUUGAUUAUUUUACAAGUUCUAGAGAUGCAUGAAGAGUGUUUGGAAGUAUGGAGAAAGACUUGUUGAUAUUGGGUCCCAUAUGGGCUAAGAACUCGGAAACAUUGCGUUGAACCACUAAAUGACUUAUCUAGUGUUGUUUGGGUUUAGAAUAUGUUAGGAUACAAUAAAUUUGAUUGAUUACAAGUGCUAGAGAUGCAUGAAGAGUGUUUAGAAGUGUGGAAAAAGACUUGUUGAAAUUGGGUCCCAAAUGGGCUAAGAACUCGGAAACAUUGCGUUCAACCACUAAAUGAA
rnacentral:lncRNA from 1 species